GUGCAGCGUGAGGUAAUACAGUAGGGGGAGGUGCAGCGUGAGGUAAUACAGUAGGGGAGGUGCAGCGUGAGGUAAUACAGUAGGGGGAGGUGCAGCGUGAGGUAAUAUAGUAGGGAAGGUGCAGCGUGAGGUAAUACAGUAGGAGGAGGAGCAGCAUGAGGUAAUACAGUAGGGGGAGGUGCAGCGUGAGGUAAUACAGUAGGGGAGGUGCAGCAUGAUGUAAUGCAGUAGGGGGAGGUGCAGCGUGAUGUAAUGCAGUAGGGGGAGGUGCAGCGUGAGGUAAUACAGUAGGAGGAGGUGCAGCCUGAGGUAAUACAGU
ensembl:lncRNA